rnacentral:rRNA from 1 species
AUGUACAUGUAUACAACAUUAAUGCAUUGAAUCCCAUUAGGACUCUACAAUUAAGCACGCUUGGGCUAAAGUAGUAUUGGGAUGGGUGACCUCUUAGGAAGUCCUAGUGUUUUACAUG